rnacentral:rRNA from 1 species
CACGUAGGGGGCAAGCGUUGUCCGGAUUUAUUGGGCGUAAAGAGCUCGUAGGCGGUUCGGCAAGUCGGGUGUGAAACCCCCAGGCUCAACCUGGGGACGCCACCCGAUACUGCUGUGACUUGAGUCCGGAAGAGGAGAGUGGAAUUCCUGGUGUAGCGGUGAAAUGCGCAGAUAUCAGGAAGAACACCAAUGGCGAAAGCAGCUCUCUGGGACGGUACUGACGCUGAGACGCGAAAGCGUGGGGAGCGAACAGG